CUCCCCUAAUCAAAGCUUUCCCUAAGCUCUUCUUUCCUAAUCCUCUCUCUCCCUCCCGAUCUCUGCUCCAUCUCUCUCGUUCUCCUCCCUCUCUCUCCAAUGCAUCAACCGUGAAUGCCCUGCGAGGUGAUUUUUUUCAAAGGGGGUUCGUGAUCCCAACCCAGUUCCUCAACCUCCCGAUUUUCGUCUCCCUCCUGAAGAAAGCAGAAGAGGAGUUCGGAUUUCAGACGUGCGGUGGCCUGGUUUUGCCCUGCAAGAUUUUUUUCGAUAGAUGAACACCUUACUUGCUAUUAUGGAUUCCCAAGAUGCCGUGGGGUUGUCAAUGACAUUGAAGCAGAGGAACCUGCCAUCUGACUAUACCUUUUGUUGAUAUUGUAGGAGAAUAAAUUAGAGAUGGUUUUGCAUAUCUAUUCUUGAACUUGAAAUACAAACAUACGGCUUCUAUUGCUGCAGGAAACCAUAGGAUUCCAGUCAUUGUUGUUGGGCAUCGUUUUGGGAAUGCAAAUGGCAUGUCUCCUCAUGCACAAUAAUUGAUUAAACUCUAGUUUAGACUAUUUACAUGUUUGUAGUAGCAAAGUGAAUGCGUGUAUGCAGGUCUUUAGAAAUUUUAUUAUACUUU